rnacentral:rRNA from 1 species
CUCAAUGAUUAUUAAAUAGCCGCAAUAUUUGUGCUAAGGUAGCAUAAUCAUUUGUUUUUUAAUUAAAAACUAGAACGAAAGAUAUAACACUUUUAUUACUUUCUCAUAUAUAUAAAUAAAACUUAUUUUAAAUAUAAAAAAAUAUUUCUAUAAUUAAAAGACGACAAGACCCUAUUGAACUUCACUAAAGUUUAACUGGGGUAGUUAAUUAAAUAAAAUUUUAAUUUUAAAAAUUAAAAAACCUAAUAAAAUUAAAUCAAUCAAGUUACCAUAGGGAUAACAGCGUAAUAAUUUUCUUAAGAUCUUAUUCAAAAAAUUGUUUACGACCUCGAUGUUGAAUUAAUAAUCUAUCAAACGCAAUAAUUUGAAAACGAAAGUCUGUUCGACUU